GAUGAACGCUAGCUACAGGCUUAACACAUGCAAGUCGUGGGGCAGCAUGAAGGAAGCUUGCUUCCUUUGAUGGCGACCGGCGCACGGGUGAGUAACGCGUAUCCAACCUUCCCCUACUCAGGCAUAGCCCGGUGAAAACCGGAUUAACUCCUGAUAGUUUCACUAGAUGGCAUCUGACGGUGAAUAAAGCUCUGCGGUAGGGGAUGGGGAUGCGUCUGAUUAGCUUGUUGGCGGGGUAACGGCCCACCAAGGCGACGAUCAGUAGGGGUUCUGAGAGGAAGGUCCCCCACAUUGGAACUGAGACACGGUCCAAACUCC
rnacentral:rRNA from 1 species